GUAGGGGGCAAGCGUUGUCCGGAAUUAUUGGGCGUAAAGCGCACGCAGGCGGCUUGUCAAGUCAGAUGUGAAAUCCCUCGGCUCAACCGAGGACCUGCAUUUGAAACUGACAGGCUAGAGUUCAGGAGAGGGAAGCGGAAUUCCUAGUGUAGCGGUGAAAUGCGCAGAUAUUAGGAAGAACACCGGUGGCGAAGGCGGCUUCCUGGACUGUAACUGACGCUGAGGUGCGAAAGCUAGGGGGAGCGAACAGGAUUAGAUACCCUGGUAGUCCUAGCCGUAAACGAUGGUCACUAGGUGUAGGGGGUUAUCAACUCCCCCCCCCCCUGUGCCGCAGCUAACGCAUUAAGUGACCCCGCCUGGGAGUACGGCCGCAAGGCUA
rnacentral:rRNA from 1 species